CGGUUUUUACGCGUGUGUAUUGCUAGUGUGAAGAUCGAAUUCUUAUCACGUAGUUGCCUAGCGUAUUUAAUAUAUUUGUGAUUCUUUUAAGUUUUUGAUUAGAAAAAAAUAUAAUAUGGGCCGUAAAAAGAAGAAGCAGUCUAGACCAUGGUGUUGGUAUUGUAAUAGGGAAUUUGAAGAUGAGAAAAUUCUUAUUCAGCAUCAAAAGGCAAAACAUUUUAAGUGCCACAUUUGUCAUAAGAAAUUAUAUACGGGACCAGGACUAAGUAUACAUUGUAUGCAGGUACACAAAGAAGCAAUAGAUAAAGUACCUAACUCAUUGCCAAAUCGUAGUAAUAUUGAGAUAGAAAUAUAUGGAAUGGAAGGUAUCCCACCAAACGAUGCUAAGGAGCAUGAAAGACAACGCAAUGGUGGAAGACCUGGAUCACCUAGUUCCGGAGAAGAUGAACCUAUACAAAAGAAGGCUAAACCUGAAGGUUUAUUAGGUUCAGCACCAGGAGCUAUGCCUACAGGUUCUAGUAUAAUGUCUGGGGUUAUGCAAGGAAUGACGACGCAUCCUGGUAUGCCACCAAUGGGUCAAUUCCCACCACCUAUGCAUCAUAUGAUGGGACCUAUGGGCCCAGUAGGUCCACCGUUCAUGGGACCUGGUAUGAUGCCUGGAAUGCCAGGUAUGCCACCAGGCAUGCAACCACCAGUAUCUGGUACAUCAAUGCCACCAACGAGGCCAUUAUUCCCAAGUGCUGCAGCUGUGUCAACGGCUGCAUCUACGGCUGUGACAUCAACCCCAUUGGGUACUGAUUUUAAACCGAUUACAUCAGUGGCUGGUGGGUCUAUAGGACCAGUCAAGCCAACAUUCCCUGCUUAUAGUGGUACUGAUAGUAGUACCACGUCUAAUAGUAACCUUGGUAGUGAACAGAAAGUUAAUUUAAUUGCGACAACAGGGGCUGCUAGUAAAAUUAUUCAUCCUCCUGAAGAUCUCAGUUUAGAAGAAAUUAGAGCAAAAUUACCAAAAUAUCAACGCCGACAAACAGCAGAGGAGUCUCGAUCGGCGCAGGCUGAUGCCAAUCAACAGGCUGUGGCGUUGCAACAACAGCAACAACAGCAGCAGCAGCAACAACAGCAACAACAACAGCAGCAACAGCAACAGCAGCAGCAGCAACAACAACAGCAACAAGCAGCUGCUAACGUAGCUGCUGCAUUUCAAGAUCAACAACAAAGACAGCAAGCAGCAUUAAAUGCGCUUCAACAACAACAACAACAACAACAACAACAAAGGUUUCAAAGGCCUCCGCAAGCAGUAAUGGUACCAGCAUCGGCAGCAAUGCCUGUGAGCUCAGUUGCUCUUAUGGCACCAUUAAUGCGACCCACAAUGACAUUAGCUGCACCUGCUCUUAUUCAUGGAGGUAACAUGAUGCGACCGCCCCCCAUGGGCCUACCACCAGGGUACCCAGUCACUCCUUGGUGAGUGUUGAACGAACCCAGUCUGGUUACUAAAACCGUGUUUUAUACAAGUGCAACAAGGUGGGUCGAGCGGCCAACGAAAUAACAUCUGUUCCAAUUCAUUCCACGUCGGGCAGCCACUUUGAUUUUGGGACACAUCAUGAGUCUUUGGAUGUGAUAUACCUCCUCCCGAAACAAUAAUAGAGUCAUUGGUAUCAGGAGCACGAUUACAUUUCAAUUAUUCAGUCAUAUUAUUACUAAUUUAUAUUCCACAAUUAUUAUUAUAUUACGUGCGUUUUAUAUUCGAUA